UUCUCUCUCUGAACGAUUACUCUCCCUUCUCUCUAGAACCUUCUGGUUCUCCGAUGAGACCCGUCACCUCUCCGACCAUACCCCCCUCACUUCUCUCGAUCUUCAGUCGUCAUGGACACCUCUGAAGCUCGAAGCAAAAGUCAUCCGCCAUGAAAGACGGUCACUGAAGCCCUUCCUGGGUCCAUUUUCGGCCUUUCUCCAGUGGAUUUGCUCGAUGAUGCUUGAAUAUCGAUAUUAUAUGAGUUUCACGGCCAGGUCUCUCAUCUCCCUAAUUUAUUUGCAAAGCCUAAUUUUUUUGCCUAAACCGCUUUAAUAACUGUCUUUUUAAAUGAUUUUUGGUUUAAUAUUUGUUUUCUAUGCUACUUGUCACUUGAUAUCUUCGAUUAAGUCUUUUUUUAAAAACUAGGGUUUCUGACCCCUUUCUAAAAUCGCUAUGCUUCUGUUAUCUUUGGACAUUAUGUGCUUAUUCCUGUGAUUAUGUGUUUGAAACCUUGUUGUUUCUGAGUUCCACGCCUCGAGUCUCUUCUAGGGCUCCGACCCUAUACUUUUUGUAUGAUUCCUUGCUUAGGGUUUUUGAUUCCUGUGACCUUUUAAGUUUGAAUGCCUCUUUCUUUACUGAAUAUCCUAUUAGUUCCAAGUAUCUUUUGAAUCACUGAUUCGUGUGUAUUCUUACAUUGAUUUCAAAUUGUUUCCUUAUUUGUGAGUUGCUUUCUAUGUUUGGGACUAAUUCCUUCUAAUUUUGGUCCUGCUCGUGAUUCUUGGACUGACUGUUCGUAGUUGAUUUAUAUUAUUUGCCAUAUUUGUGCACUCAAGUAUAUUUUAGUUAUUCAGCCUAUAUUUUCCUUGUUUGAAAUAUUGUGUAUCUAGCCUUUGUUAUGUACAGCAUGCCUAUUGCUUUCGUUAUGGUAUAAUCAGUCAUUCAACUGACUUUUUCCUUAUUUGAUAGCAUGUACUCUUAUUCAAAUUUUGAGCCCCUGAUUUAUUUGAAUUAGGACCUAUGAUUGAUUCAAUUUGGUAUUGUUUCUAUAUUGUACUUUUAUUUGAAUUUUGAAUCCCUAAUUUAUUUGAAUUAUGACAUAUGAUUGAUUUAAUUUGAUAUUGUUUCUAUAAUUAUACACUCCCUACCCUAUUCUCUACUAUUUUCAAAAACUAUAAGUACUACUCUUAUCUUCUCACUUGAGACAGACAGAGACACGAAUACAAUCCCUCAAAACUUUUCCUUCAGAAAAUAUUCAGUGCUUUCUCUCUAUAUUGUUUUCUAUACAAACUCUCUCAUUCUCUUAUUGGAACACUCAAUCGGCUGAAAGCCAAGAUUGAGUAUCUUGGGUUGAUUACUUCUACGUUACUGGGUUCUAUUGUUUGUUCACUUGGGUCUGUUGUUGCAGCUACUCUCAUAUUGUUGCUGCACACUAUUCUUCUCUCUGGUGCUUAUACUCUUUGCUCACCUGGUUCCUCUGUGCACUAUUGUUAUUGUUGUCUAUUGUUUGCAACUGGUAUGUCAUUCCUUUAUGAUAUAGUUUCAACAACAACCUGUUUCUAUUGAUUUUACAUUUCAUAAUGUUUCUUGUGUGUUAUUACUUAUGGUUUUGUUGCUCCUUCUGUCACUAGCAUGUCACUCACAAAUUUAUUUGGUUCAGCUUAGUGUGCUUUUUUACCCCUUCCCUGCCUCAAUGAAUGUUUUCCUUUCCCUUGUGCAUUACUACUAUGUGUCCAUGUCUGCUUGACUACUUGGUUAACCUAAAACCUCUGUUUGAAGAUAAGUGUAUUAGAGUAAGAACUGAACUCUUGUUUUACAACCAUGUCUAGUUAUUUUCUCCCAAUAUGUUGCCUGUGUAAGUAGUUUAUUUUGCUUAUUUGUUCCCUUCCUCUUGUCCUUGUUUGUGUGAUGCUCUGUUGGUUUUAAGAACUGGUCAGUCUAAAUGUUUUCUGGAGAGCUCUUGCAAUUCUUCCAACUGUUUUCUUAAACUCUCUUAAAUCUUUCAACUGUUUUCAACUCUCUCAAUUCUAAUCACAAUAUCAUUCUUAAACCUUAGGGUCUGCCCACUUAGUGUAAGCAUUGCUUUGGGAGCCUUGAGCACCCAUUGAACUUUGAUGCAUAAGGCUGGCACUUCCACACUUGUCCAAUUGGGAUAUUUUGGGUGUCUGGUAUUGGUCAGGGGUUCAAACGAACCCUUAGGGAACUUUGUCGCAUCCAAGCCUUGGUAAUGGCCGUGAAACUCGAAAGAAGUGAUGUUGGAGAUCUUGGGCAUGGCUGUAGGCUCCCUAUAGAAUAGCUUCUUCCUUUUUUUAUCAAUGUUGUAAUUUUAAGUUACUUGGUCUGUAAUAACGUGUAAAAAUAAUGGGGUUUAUAGUAAAAUUGGGAGGGUUAUGCAUGCUUAGUUAAGGGGAAUGGGUAGAAAACAUGUUAUUGGAUUUUACUUACCUAUUUGCACAAUAGAAAUCCUGCUUUAAGACAUGCAUCUUCGCAUAUAGAAAUCUUGUUCUUUAGGCCUCUCGCUUUCAGUUUGUUAUUGUCUCAUAACCCUAAUUAAUCAAUAAUAAAUGAAUCAUCACCAUCACAUUUAGAUGCAAUGCUUAUAGGACUUUCUAUGCAUUAUAUAUCAUGCCAUGAGGAUUUUUAUUUGCAACUGUUUAAACACUUCGCUAAUUUAGGUAAAACUGGUUAACAACUCCUCGUUAAAACUGGAAACCAUUGUAUGCUCACCAUAUUUUAAUAACGCCUAGGUAAAUCUUAGGCCGGAUAAAAAUGGGCUAAUCACUUUCAAGUCGUGGUCAAAUUAAUCUGUCUCUGUCAGAAUUCGUUUGUCUUUGAAGCUCUCUCUAUUUUUUACAAACUUCUGCCAUAUUUUUAAAACCAUCCGUGCAAAGGAUUUCUACUGUAUUUUCUUGUCCAGAUUUGGACCACUAUUUCAACUAUCUGAGUACCAAUUUUCAUAAAGCCUGUAUGUUUUACUGUUUUCUUUACGCUUCUGCAAUAUCAAAAUGCUUUUAUGCUUGUUCUUUUACUCCGCCCGUCCAAAACUGUUUUACUAGGCAUUUCACAAAUAUUUCUAAAUGACUUCUGCACAUUUCUAAAAAACUUAUACUGCCUCGUUUUAGUUCUGAACGUUCUUUUUCUCUUACGUACCUUUCUGCAAACUCUUUAACUUCUGUUUUAAUUUAUACUCCAGCUUUUAACUCUCUUUUUCUUAGACCUUACAUGUGUUUGAGACGUGCUAAUAAUGUGUUUGCUUAUGCAGGGAUAUUUGAGCCUUCGUAUAUGCCUUUACAUGAUUCCAUUACGUGUAGUCCUACUUGUUUUUGUAUGUCGCUUUGUGUUUUAACCUUUAAACUUAAGGGUUCAGCCUAGUUCCUACCUUAUAGGAAUAGUGAUCCUAAAUGGCCUCUAGGAUCUAUAGAAUGGGAUGUGUAAUAGCACGCGAUAAGUAUUUGUGACCAAUCUAAUCUUUGCGGGGUGGGAAGUUAGAAUAUGGAGAUGAUGACGACGUGAUAAUAUCAUAAAGCGACCCCUCUUUGGGAAUAUGAGCUAGAUACUGCAUCGAAUGAUCCAUAUUAUAGUCAAACUUAGGACCCUUUUUCUCUCUUACGUGCUUUAUUUAAAUGUAUUCCUGAAGCUUUUCAAAUUGAUCUUCUCCCCUAUUUCAAACUUAUGUUUUCUUUAAAGCUCUCAAAUUAUAUGAAUAUGUGCACUUCAUUUGUCUGCUUGCUUCAUCUUCUUUAUGAAGUCACAAUUAGCACGUACAGGAACCACAUUUGUGGAUCUAGAGGGGUGCCUAACACCUUCCUCUCGAGAUAAUUCAAGCCCUUACCCAAUUAUGGUUUCUCUCUUAAAAACAGUCCCUUAAAGUGUCCUAAUGCACGAUAAUCAUAAGGUGGCGACUCUUCCAACUUCAUAACCCAAUUCCCAAACGGGAAAUAGAGUUGUUUUGCCUCUAAUGUCGUGAAAUUCGAUUUCGCCCUUUUGAAAAAGGGGGGCGUCGACACCAAAUACGAACCAAGGACGCUGAUGUAGC
rnacentral:lncRNA from 1 species